rnacentral:rRNA from 2 species
ACCCGUCUUGAAACACGGACCAAGGAGUCUAACAUGUGCGCGAGUCAUUGGGUUGUUGUUAAAGAUAUCGAUUAAACCUAAAGGCGCAAUGAAAGUGAAGGUCGUCCUUAGCGUCGAUCGAGGGAGGAUGGCCCGGGUUCGCCCGAGUCCGCACUCCCGGGGCGUCUCACGGUCGUUACGACCAGAGGCGCACCCAGAGCGUACACGUUGGGACCCGAAAGAUGGUGAACUAUGCCUGGUCAGGACGAAGUCAGGGGAAACCCUGAUGGAGGUCCGUAGCGAUUCUGACGUGCAAAUCGAUCGUCGGAACUGGGUAUAGGGGCGAAAGACUAAUCGAACCAUCUAGUAGCUGGUUCCCUCCGAAGUUUCCCUCAGGAUAGCUGGCACUCGCUCGAUAAAAACGAGUCUCAUCUGGUAAAGCGAAUGAUUAGAGGCCUUGGGGCCGAAACGACCUCAACCUAUUCUCAAACUUUAAAUGGGUGAGAUCUCUGGCUUGCUUGAACGUUGAAGCCAUGAGAUUUUUUCUACAAAAGUGGAUCAGAGUGCCAAGUGGGCCAAUUUUGGUAAGCAGAACUGGCGCUGUGGGA